GCAAUUUUUGAAAAUAUGCCCCCUCUCUCCACAAAGGUUACAGUUUACCGGAUCCUGGCAGUCCUUAGUUAAGUGUCCAUAUUUACUCCGGCAUUCUACUGAAAGGAGUUGCUGGGAACCACACCUACGGCAGGUCUAAGGCUGGCCCGGGUAGAAAACGUAGCCUCUUAUUGCUCCCAGCUGAAUCACCGGUGGCAAAUGAUAGGUCUAGUACAAUUCUUUCCUGUUGCUAAAUUUUUCUUCAAUUGUAUAAAGAAGCGUCUGCCGCCAGUCCUGACCCCGUCCUCGUCUUUUAAUCCGUAUCCUUGUUUCACUGUCCAUCUUUAUUGUAGCCAAGUUCCAAUGUCCUCCAUCCGAACUUGUUCAGAAAACAUAAGUACUGUGAUUGUCUUAGGCUCCAUUUGCGAGAGAGAAGUCAUCUCUGUAUUGGCUAAUUGAGGUCUCGUCUCUUUCAGUCUUCCAAACGAUCCCAAACAUUUUCCCUAAAAAGUAUUAGUGGUAAAUAUUACCUCACAGGUUCUUUUUCCCAGCAGAGCAAAAAUAUAGUCCAUUUGCACAGGUAAAAUUCCGAGUUCCUUUUGCGAGAUGAGACGACUGAACUGAAGUCUGUCCAUUUCCAUAUCAUUUUUAGAUCAAAUCUCACUGCGUUCCUACGGGAACCAGACAUGGGCAGGGACGAAGCCAUCUUUCUCACACAUGGUAUCUCCCCUGCUAGCCCUCCAAAAGGCAAACAUUGGUGACUCAGGAGAGUCUGUGCCAUCUGAAGAGCUCCCUGAAGAUGACCUAUCAUCUGAGGAGCCACCAAAAGUUACUAUAUCCCUCUCAGUACUGAAGGGAUAUUCAGAGUUCCCAGUACAAAUCCUUCAGUACAUGCAGGAAUACUGGAUCCAUUUGAAGGGCUCCAUGGGCACAAUAAAACAGCAUGAAAACCAAAAAUCAAAGGUUGGAAGAGUAACGUUGUUCCUUAAAUUCCUAACCGAGGGGAAGACUGUCUUAGGAAAUUGGACGUUCCUUGAGAACGUAGGGAGAGUUCAUGAGUGGCCGGAACAUCUCUUCAGACAAGGGAAGGCCAUCACCACCAUAAAAUUGUACCUUGUCAACAUCUCAGGGUUUCUCAGCUACUUUCGGGACACGCCACCAUCAACCUCGCGUGUCCCAAGGAAGUGUAUGGUGUCAGUCCUUAGAGCCCAGUCCUCGGACUUGAGGAAACUGUCGAGGCGCGUCGUCCUCCGCCAGCUCCAAGUUAAAAGGGGAAAAGUCAGCAGGUUGAUCCCCAAGGUGGACCUCAGAAAAAGGCACGGCGCAUGAUCCCCAGGUUGCUCGACACCAUCGAGACUACGCCUAGCCAAAACAACAUACACCGGUUCUAUGGCUACUUCAGCGCUUACCUGUCGAGCAUCUAUGGCCAUAGGACCGGUGUUUUAACCAAUAUGUCAUUGCCUAAAGUGGGUGAGGCACAUACAGAGGCAAAGUCUGGAGAACAAGGAUUUGUCAUCAAUGUAACUGUAAUGAUUUUGCACUUAUAAUUAAACACUUGAUAGAUCUACCUGAGUGCCUGCCAUUCAGGAUAAUUUACAGGUUAUCCUGUAUGUCAGGCAACAUACCCUCUCAUUUGGCACUAAGGUGAAAGAGCACAAGACAAAUCAUUCUUUUGGGCCUGCCCAGGCAUAUCUGACAGUGCAGGAGUUCGGUUGGCUGGAGCAAUGGCUCCAAGUCAGGGAAAAACUGCAGCCAUCCACCAACCUGGUGUUUUUUAAUGAAAGCAACCAGAAAAUUACCAACUUACAGCAGCACCUGCAGAGUGCGUGGGCAGAGAUGGGGUUUUCCAGGCGCCCCACAUUUACAGAUUUCCGCAACUCGAUUGCCACAUAUGCCAAAAAUGUACUGUCUACAGGCACAAGGAGCAAAGUUUCAAAGACAAUGUGUCAUGACCCUGCAACAGCAGACAUGUUCUACGCAAUGAGCCAAACUGCAGAACAUCUGGCGGAGCUGCGCAUUAAAUUCCAGCAGGUCACCGACCCAGAUGCCCCAGGUUCUGCGGACCCUCCUCUCCUCAUGCUGUCUGAGUCAUCGAGCAAGGGUUAGGGGGAGGAGCCUUUAAAGAAACGGAGGAGACUAGAACCUGAGGAACCAGACCAGUCGGAUGGAAGUCAUCCGUCAUCUGGCCAGGGUGAUGCCACCACCCAGGACACCCAGGGCACACCAUUGACUGUUUAUACUGAUCCAAAAAGAGUAUCUUCGAUCUCCCAAAAAGCAGCCCAUUGAUGGCAUACAGGCUGCACCAAAGAUUUCUGAGGCACAUCCCUCAAAAACGUGUUUCAUUCAAGGAGGCAGAAGAAGUAGUUUAGUUUGAAUCUUUUCAUUUUCUUGUUUUCAA